GAUGUAUAUACUCGGCCCGUACCCCAAACCGACACAGGUAGUCAGGUUGAAAAUACUAAGGCGUUCGGGUGAACUGUGGUUAAGGAACUCGGCAAAAUGCCCCCGUAACUUCGGGAGAAGGGGGACCCUAUGGCGUGAACACCCAUUUGCGGUGGGAAGCGUUGUGGGGUCGCAGAGAAUAGAGGGAAGCGACUGUUUAUCAAAAACACAGGUCCAUGCGAAGACGUUAAGUUGAUGUAUAUGGACUGACGCCUGCCCGGUGCUGGAAGGUUAAGAGGACCGGUUAAUCAAGCUUUGCUUGGUGAAGCUGAGAAUUUAAGCCCCAGUAAACGGCGGUGGUAACUAUAACCAUCCUAAGGUAGCGAAAUUCCUUGUCGGGUAAGUUCCGACCUGCACGAAUGGCGUAACGACUUCCCUGCUGUCUCAACCACAGGCCCGGUGAAAUUGCACUACGAGUAAAGAUGCUCGUUACGCGCGGCAGGACGAAAAGACCCCGGGACCUUCACUAUAGCUUGGUAUUGGUGUUCGGUUCGGUUUGUGUA
rnacentral:rRNA from 1 species